UACAGAGGUCCCGAGCGUUGUUCGGAUUCAUUGGGCGUAAAGGGUGCGUAGGCGGCGGGGCAAGUCUGAUGUGAAAUCCCGGGGCUCAACCCCGGAACUGCAUUGGAUACUGCCUUGCUAGAGUACUGGAGAGGGAACUGGAAUUUACGGUGUAGCAGUGAAAUGCGUAGAGAUCGUAAGGAAGGCCAGUGGCGAAGGCGAGUUCCUGGACAGUUACUGACGCUGAUGUGCGAAAGCGUGGGGAGCAAACAGG
rnacentral:rRNA from 1 species